AGAGUUUGAUCUGGCUCAGGAUGAACGCUGGCGGCGUGCCUAAUACAUGCAAGUCGAGCGAAUGACGAGGAGCUUGCUCCUCUGAUUUAGCGGCGGACGGGUGAGUAACACGUGGGUAACCUGCCUGUAAGACGGGGAUAACUCCGGGAAACCGGAGCUAAUACCGGAUGAUAACGAGAAGCGCCUGCUUCUUUUUUGAAAGUCGGUUUCGGCUGACGCUUACAGAUGGGCCCGCGGCGCAUUAGCUAGUUGGUGAGGUAACGGCUCACCAAGGCGACGAUGCGUAGCCGACCUGAGAGGGUGAUCGGCCACACUGGGACUGAGACACGGCCCAGACUCCUACGGGAGGCAGCAAUAGGGAAUCUUCGGCAAUGGACGAAAGUCUGACCGAGCAACGCCGCGUGAGCGAUGAAGGCCUUCGGGUCGUAAAGCUCUGUUGUCAGAGAAGAACAAGUACCGGAGUAACUGCCGGUACCUUGACGGUACCUGACCAGAAAGCCACGGCUAACUAAGUGCCAGCAGCCGCGGUAAUACGUAGGUGGCAAGCGUUAUCCGGAAUUAUUGGGCGUAAAGCGCGCGCAGGCGGUCUUUUAAGUCUGAUGUGAAAGCCCACGGCUCAACCGUGGAGGGUCAUUGGAAACUGGGGAGA
rnacentral:rRNA from 1 species